GUGGCAAGAAACAGGCCUCCCUCGAACCAACAGGCAAAGAAAGACAGUGGCAUCAAUCAAUCAAUCAAUCAAAUAGUAUAAGUAACUCGAACUUUGAUGAUUGAGCUUCCCCUUUGGCCCCUUUCGCCAUUAAUGAUAGGUGGUGGCUCUGGAGGUGGAGCUGUUUUAGUCAAUGGCCGGCGAAGAACCCGAAAAGGAGGAUGGGGAGGAGGAUGCAAUAACAGUAACAGAGGCCUUAUUACCUUGCCUGGAUGGUGCGAAACUGGUUGAUGCACCUAUUCUUUUCUUUGUUCUUUCUCACAAGGCUUUUGUCAGGGAGCUUGAGCAGCUCCACCGCUCCGCCCUGGAGGUGGCUGACACUGGGUCCCCUGAUCGCCAGUUUGUGGAUGAUCUUGGCCGGAGGUUUGACUUCUUUAAGCUUGUUUAUAAGUACCACGCUGCAGCGGAAGAUGAGAUUGUAUUUCCAGCUCUAAAUAGCAAAGUAAAGAACGUGGUGACUACAUCUGCAUUAGAACAUAAGUGCAUCAAUGAUGACUUCUGCUCCGCAGUCCAGUGCUUGGAUCUUUUAAGAAAAGAGUGUGAAGAUUUUACCCAUCUGUUUCAAAAACUCAUCUUCUCCAUCAGCUCUAUAAAGUCCGCUAUCUGCGAGCAUAUGCUGAAGGAAGAAAAAUUGGUUUUUCCUUUGGUGAUAGGACAAUUCUCUUCUGAAGAACAGGCUAAGCUUGUUUGGCAGUAUAUCUGCAGUGUUCCUAUUGCUUUAUUGGAAGAUUUUCUGCCGUGGAUGGCUUGUUCUCUUCCUCCAGAUGAGAAACUAGACCUUCUGGAUUGCAUGAAGAUUGUUGUAUCCAAGGAAGAAGUGCUUGAAGAGGUGGUCAUCUCUUGGCUUAAUAAUAAGAAACCUUCUCCUCCUGGAGCCUGCAAUGUCUAUGGACAAGGAGCUCAAUUUUACAGUGGACACGUUAGCUCCAUGGAGAUACUCAAGAUACAUCCAAAUACAUUUGAUUUUGGUGAAGAAGAAAAAUCAAAGCUCUGUUCCAUUUACACAUCUAUAGGACCAAACCCACUUGAUGGCAUUUACAUUUGGAAUACUGCUCUUGCAAGAGAUUUCAGGAAAGUUCUGGAUGAGUUAUACCAAAUAAGAAGCUUGAACAACAUGUCAAACUUGUCUUCCAUAGUAGUUCAGCUACAAUUCCUUUUAGAUGUCCUUAUCUCCUACAGCAACGCAUUGGAUCAAAUAUUUUUUCCCCUGGUAAAUGACCUUUCCAAGAAUGUCCUACCAUUAUCUUGCACACGACUUGUGGAGAAAGGUCAAGUCGAAAGGCUUCAAUUCUUGCUGUACGGAGUGCUUCAAGAUGGAGCGCAACCAAGCAAUUUCCUGAAGGGCCUUUGCAGGGAAGUGGAGUUGCUUGUGAGAGGAAUUAGCAAAAACCUGACACAUAUAGAAACAGAGGUAUAUUCUUCUAUUGGCAAGAAGUGCAGCCAUAAUAUGCUGCUGUGGCUGUUAUAUGCAGGUCUCAAAACUAUGCCUCUUGGGUUGUUAAAAUGCACUGUUCUUUGGUUUUCUGCUACUUUAUUGGAUGAGCAGUUCAAGACCAUGCUGGACGCCAUGACAGAUGCAUGCCCUUUAGGCAACAAGCCAAUUUUAAUUCUGUUGCAUAGUUGGGUUCGCAUGGGUUAUUUAGGUAAAAUAUCCAUGGAAAGGUUUGCAAAAGAUCUGCAAGAAAAUUUUAUCAGAGGAAUCUAUUUCACAUCUGAUCGAAUUGGGGAGGAUGUUGGGUUUGCUAAUUUAAAGUUUGAUAUGCAAGCCUGCACUAUAUUUAACACCAUAGAAUCUGAGCCGAGCCCUGCUGUAAAAGAUAACAAGAUGGUCUGCAACCCCUCAUCUUCUCAUUCCAAAACCAAUGAGAAGCUUGAAUCUGGUGGAAUGACUCUUCAUAAAUUCUCCCCUCAAAUGUGGAGCAAUAUUCUUUCUGUUGUGAGACAUCCUGCUGAGAAUGGCAUUGCCAAAAAAGUUUUGGCUCUAGAAUUAAGACCAAUGGAUCAUUUUGUGUGCUUUCACAAAGCUCUCAUAAGAGAUCUGGACUACAUUGUCUUUCUUUCAGCUAACAUGGCCAAAAGCUUUCAGUUUAUCCCUGAUUUACGUAGACAUUUUGAACUUCUAAAGUUUCUGUAUGACAUUCACAGUGCUUCAGAGGAUGAGGUUGUCUUUCCGGCUCUAGAAUCAAAGGGGAAACUCAAAAACAUUACCCAGUCUUACACCAUUGACCAUAAAUUGGAGGAGGAAAACUUCGCCAAAGUUUCAUCUCUGCUAAAUGACAUUGCCACCCUGCAUGAUGAUCUAGACAAACCGGGUGAGGGAAGUCUACAAUAUCGACAGAUGUGUUUGAAGCUCCAUGAGACUUGCCUGUCUAUGCAGAAAAUAAUCUCGGGGCAUAUUCAUCGUGAAGAAAUUCAACUUUGGCCUUUAUUUGGAGAAUACUUUUCCACUGAGGAACAAGAAAAGAUGUUAGGGUGUAUGCUUGGCAGAACUAGAGCUGAAACUCUACAAGAAAUGAUACCCUGGUUGAUGUCAGCUUUAACCCAAGAUGAACAACAUGCCCUGAUUUCUCUGUGGCGUAGGGCUACAAAAAAUACCAAUUUUGAACAAUGGUUAGGAGAAUGGUGGGAAGAUAUGAAAGAUUAUUGUGUUGCUAAGGAUGAAGAAGAAUCCUCUUUUCCUCCUUCCUUGGCUGCUAACCCUCUGGAAGUUGUCUCAGUGUAUCUGGGGGAACAAACAUGCAGAGAAAGCAAACUUUCAGGAAAAGAAGUUUCUGAUAACAAUGCUGAGCAUUCUGGGUAUAUAUGUCCAUAUUCAAAAGAUUUCAAAGGUGGUCAAAACAAUGAUAAAUAUGAAGAUCUAGUCAACUGUGGUGAAGAACUUGAUAAGAAAACUGAUCAGCAAAUUGUUGAUGAUCAAGCUGAUAAAGCUGGACAAAACAUUCAGGCGUGCCAUGAUGAGCAUCCACUGGAAUUAAAUCAAAAGGAGCUGGAAACUGCAAUAAGAAGAGUGUCCCGUGAUCCUACAUUGGAUUCUCAGAAGAAAUCACAUAUCAUCCAGAGCCUGAUAAUGAGCCGUUGGAUUGUAACACAACAGAAUUCGAACACGUUGAGUGCUGCGGCUAAUGAUAGAGAAGAAGAUUUUGGCCAGUAUCCAUCUUAUCAGGAUUCUCUCAAUGAAAUUUUCGGCUGCAAGCACUACAAACGCAACUGUAAACUUCUUGCUGCAUGUUGCAGCAAACUGUUUACAUGCAUAAAAUGUCAUGACGAGUUCACGGAUCAUUCUAUGGAAAGAAAAGCUAUUACAAAAAUGAUGUGCAUGAAAUGCUUGGUAAUUCAACCAGUUGGCCCAAAAUGCUCAAACAAUGCUUGCAAUAAUUUUCCAAUGGCAAAAUACUAUUGCCCAGUUUGCAAACUAUUUGAUGAUGAAAGGAAAAUUUAUCACUGCCCUUAUUGCAAUCUGUGCCGAGUUGGGAAGGGAUUGGGUAUUGAUUACUUCCAUUGUAUGAAUUGUAAUGCUUGCAUGUCACGGUCUCUUUCCGUGCAUAUCUGCAGAGAGAAGUGCUUUGAGGACAACUGCCCAAUCUGCCAUGAAUACAUUUUUACCUCAAGCUCUCCAGUCAAGGCACUUCCAUGUGGUCAUUUAAUGCACUCAGUAUGUUUUCAGGAAUACACAUAUACUCAUUAUACCUGCCCAAUUUGUAGCAAGUCACUUGGGGACAUGCAGCAACUGUUGACCAAUAUACAAUACCUUGUGGUAGAGCGUCAGUAUUUCCUACGCUUUGGAACACUUACCAAUCUGCUUGUUCCAUCUCCAAUCUACAUUAGGUGUAUUUUGGAAUGUUAGACGCACUAUUAGCUGAAGAGCAAGUUCCGCAGGAGUAUUCAAGUCGAAUUCAGGUUAUUCUAUGCAAUGACUGUGAAAGGAAAGGAAAUGCUUCCUUCCACUGGCAGUAUCACAAGUGCCCUCAUUGUGGUUCAUACAAUACCAGGCUUCUAUAAGCCAAAUACACAGGCGGCUGUUGAACCCAUAAAGAGUUUACAGCAUUGUUUUCCUUGGAAUCCAUGUAAGUUGCAUUGUAAUUGGCAGCGUUGGCGCUAUUGGAGGAGUAAGUGGGUUGUGAUCCAAUGGGCAGUGCGGAUACGGUAUUGUCAUAAUUUUGGGGAGCAUCCUGGUGAAAAUGCGACAGGGCAUUGCUUGGAGGCGCCAUUCCUAAGUGCAAUUGCGAUAUAGAAUCAGUCAAUCCAGUUGACACCUCUUGUUGCUGAUGUUGUCGAUAGAGAGCCAAUUGUGCAUGAAUAGCUUGAAGUUCCUCCUCGGCUAGUUGAAUUUGAUACCACAAUUGUUGUAUGAUUCCUAAACAUCCGUGGACAGGAUACUUAUCGCGUAUAUUUGAUUGAUAGAUGAUGGACUUCAUGGCAACCAACUUCUGGCUGGGGUCUAGCUCUCUCAGAAUCUUCAAGAUGUUGCUCACGCCAAAAAGCUUGUGAGCAUUCUGGAACAUCUUAGGCUGAUCAGCCGGGAAGUAUGGCGCGAGUGGGCAGUCAGCCGUGCACCUCCUCCUCUGAUACUUGCAGGCAGCGCAGGCUUGGCUGGUGCCACCUUUGAGGGUCAUCUCAUCUCAAAGAAAUGUGUGACAAAAAUAAAGAGUAUUCAUGUAAAAAAAAUAUUGGAGGUGGGCUGAGCCAAAAGAGAUGGCAAAAAAAAUAAAAAAAAAAAGAAGAAAGGAAUUGCUCUGCUUAGAUAAGAUAAAAGGAGUGUUAGUGCUGGUGUUCAAAGGAAGGAAGACAGAAGCCACAAAUGGCAACAUUGAUCUCAACUGAACUAGUCUGCUGAUAUAUGCGGAUUUUGCUGCAAGACUUGGUAAGAUAACAGAUUGAGGGAGGGAGACCCGAAAAUGCUGGGGUGUUUCUUUCAACCGGUUAAUUACAUAUACCUCCCUUCAGUUUUUACCAAACUACCAAAGAAACCCUGAGGUUUGGCUAAAUAACCAACACCCCCUUUAAGUAACUUCUGUCAAAGUAUCUUGGACGGAAUCAGUGAAAAGAUCACUUGCCCACAAGUGUUGUAAAUUUGAAAUUCUUCAAUGCCAUUUUAUAGUUUUAAG